rnacentral:rRNA from 1 species
UACGUAGGGUGCGAGCGUUAAUCGGAUUUACUGGGCGUAAAGCGCGCGCAGGUGGUUUCUUAAGUCUGAUGUGAAAGCCCACGGCUCAACCGUGGAGGGUCAUUGGAAACUGGGAGACUUGAGUGCAGAAGAGGAAAGUGGAAUUCCAUGUGUAGCGGUGAAAUGCGUAGAGAUAUGGAGGAACACCAGUGGCGAAAGCGGCUCUCUGGCCUGUAACUGACACUGAGGCUCGAAAGCGUGGGGAGCAAACAGG